CACCUGUAACAGGGGGAUAACCCCGGAGAAAUCCGGACUAAUACCCCAUAAUAUGGGCGCUCCGCAUGGAGGGUCCAUUAAAAAGAGCAAUCUUGGUUACAGACGAGCAUGCGCUCCAUUAGCCAGUUGGCGGGGUAACGGCCCACCAAGGCGACGAUGGAUAGGGGUUCUGAGAGGAAGGUCCCCCACAUUGGAACUGAGACACGGUCCAAACUCCUACGGGAGGCAGCAGUGAGGAAUAUUGGUCAAUGGUCGGCAGACUGAACCAGCCAAGUCGCGUGAGGGAAGACGGCCCUACGGGUUGUAAACCUCUUUUGUCGGAGAGUAAAGUACGCUACGCGUAGCGUAUUGCAAGUAUCCGAAGAAAAAGCAUCGGCUAACUCCGUGCCAGCAGCCGCGGUAAUACGGAGGAUGCGAGCGUUAUCCGGAUUUAUUGGGUUUAAAGGGUGCGUAGGCGGCACGCCAAGUCAGCGGUGAAAUUUCCGGGCUCAACCCGGAAUGUGCCGUUGAAACUGGCGAGCUAGAGUGCACAAGAGGCAGGCGGAAUGCGUGGUGUAGCGGUGAAAUGCAUAGAUAUCACGCAGAACCCCGAUUGCGAAGGCAGCCUGCUAGGGUGCGACAGACGCUGAGGCACGAAAGCGUGGGUAUCGAACAGGAUUAGAUACCCUGGUAGUCCACGCAGUAAACGAUGAAUACUAACUGUUUGCGAUACAAUGUAAGCGGUACAGCGAAAGCGUUAAGUAUUCCACCUGGGGAGUAC
rnacentral:rRNA from 1 species